rnacentral:rRNA from 1 species
AGAGUUUGAUCCUGGCUCAGAGUGAACGCUGGCGGCAGGCCUAACACAUGCAAGUCGAGCGGCAGCGCAGCAGUAGCAAUACUGUGGGCGGCGAGCGGCGGACGGGUGAGGAAUACAUCGGAAUCUACCUUCUUGUGGGGGAUAACGUAGGGAAACUUACGCUAAUACCGCAUAAGACCUGAGGGUGAAAGCGGGGGACCGCAAGGCCUCGCGCGAGAAGAUGAGCCGAUGUCGGAUUAGCUAGUUGGUGGGGUAAAGGCCCACCAAGGCGACGAUCCGUAGCUGGUCUGAGAGGAUGAUCAGCCACACUGGAACUGAGACACGGUCCAGACUCCUACGGGAGGCAGCAGUGGGGAAUAUUGGACAAUGGGCGCAAGCCUGAUCCAGCCAUGCCGCGUGUGUGAAGAAGGCCUUCGGGUUGUAAAGCACUUUUGUUGGGGAAGAAAAGAUCGCGGUUAAUAACCGCGGUUCAUGACGGUACCCAAAGAAUAAGCACCGGCUAACUUCGUGCCAGCAGCCGCGGUAAUACGAAGGGUGCAAGCGUUACUCGGAAUUACUGGGCGUAAAGCGUGCGUAGGCGGUUUGUUAAGUCUGCCGUGAAAGCCCCGGGCUCAACCUGGGAAUUGCGGUGGAUACUGGCAGGCUAGAGUGCGGUAGAGGGUGGUGGAAUUCCCGGUGUAGCAGUGAAAUGCGUAGAGAUCGGGAGGAACAUCUAUGGCGAAGGCAGCCACCUGGACCAGCACUGACGCUGAGGCACGAAAGCGUGGGGAGCAAACAGGAUUAGAUACCCCUGGUAGUCC